rnacentral:rRNA from 1 species
AGAGUUUGAUCCUGGCUCAGAUUGAACGCUGGCGGCGUGCUUAACACAUGCAAGUCGAGCGGAAAGGCCCUUCGGGGUACUCGAGCGGCGAACGGGUGAGUAACACGUGAGCAACCUGCCCCUAGCUCUGGGAUAGCUCCGGGAAACCGGGAUUAAUACCGGAUAAGACCACUUUAGACAUCUGCCGUGGUGGAAAGGAU